rnacentral:lncRNA from 1 species
AUAGAUCUCUUGCACCAAGCAUCUAUAGAACUCUAGUUCUCGGCACAAGUCUGACAGUGCACUGAAUUCAGCCUCAGUAGAAGACAGCGCAAUGAGACUUUGCUUCCGGGACUUCCACCCAACCAGUGACUUCCCAAACUUUAUCACCAACCCAGACACAGACUUGCGGUCCUGCGAAUUCGCCCAGUCACUGUCCGCAUAGCAUGUGAGCUUCGCCUCACCUUCAGCUGGCAGCUUAAGACAGAAGUCUUUGGUAUGCUGCAGGUAGCGCAGUACCCGCUUGAUACCGUGCCAAGCACUCACACUGGGCUUUGACGCUUCCCUACUUAGCAGGUUGGUAGCAAAGGCAAUGUCUGGUCUGCUCCAUUGGGACAGAUACAACAGACUACCUAGAGCUGACUGAAAGAGCUCAGCAUUCUCAAACUCAGCACUCUCUGCUUGCUGGCUAUCUUUCACGAAGUUCGUCUCCAUGGGUGUCCGAACUCCUGCACAAUCGGACAUUCUGAACUUCUCCAGCAACUGCUCAAUCUUGCCUUUCUGACUGAGCAAGAAGCUACCAUCCUCAGUUCUCGCUAUCUGGACACCUAGGUAGAUCUUUACUGCACCCAGGUCCUUGAGCUGAAACCGUUUCCCAAGCUCUUUGGCAAACUUCUGCACCUGUUUGUCUGCCUUUCCAACAUGGAUGAUGUCAUCAACGUAAAACAACACCAGUUCCUGUGAGUCUCCUGAUCCUCUAAGGAACAGGCAACUGUCAGCAAGACUCUUCCUGAAACCUAGCUUCUCCAAAGCUUCAUUCAGGCACAAGUUCCAAUUCCUGGCCGACUGCUUCAGGCCGUAAAUUGACUUGUGAAGUUUCCACACAGUACCUCGCUCAUUGCCCUCAAACCCAGGAGGAGGAAGCAUGUACAGAUCCUCCUGGAGGUCUGAGUUCAAGUAAGCAACAUCCACAUCAAAGUGAUGCACCAGCAAACCUCUUUGUGCAGCGAUGGCCAAGACCAAGCGUAGAGACUCACUCCUACACGUGGGCGCAUAACUCUCCGUAGAGUGCAACCCCACUGCUGCGUGAAUCCUCUCGCCACUAAUCUGGCCUUAUACUGCGGUUCUCCUGUCGCUGUGGGCUUAAGACGGUAAACCCAGCGACUACCCACUGCCUUUUCACCCACCGGCAACUUCGUGAGGGAGAACACACCUAGAGACUCCAUUGAGUUCAUCUCCUUCUGCAUCGCCUCAUGCCAUUUCCUGGCUUCUUCUUGAGGCAGUUUCUGAACAUCCUCAAAACUCUCGGGUUCACACUGUGCCAUUCCGACCCACACACUAGAGACGGCAAACCUUUCAGGAGGUUUCCCCUUGGUCGUCCGCGUUGAACGGCGCAGCACUACUUCAGGAACCCCUCUGACCCACUAGGGCCAGCCAGAACGUCCUUGGCAUCAGAGAGCUCCCCUCUGACUUACUGCGCCUUCUGGACUUCUCAGCCGAACCUGUGGGGAAGAUGGAGCACUGCGUUGCUCACUCUUCACAGCCUUGGGAGAAGUUCUCCCCUCUGCCUGCACUGGGUCUGGACUCUGAGCCUCAGUAGCAGGUUCAACCUCUUCCUCUCCUUCAUCAGCAGAGUCUAGCAGACUCUCUGACAGGAUGUCAGGGUUCCCAUGUAUCCUUGCCCAGCCACUCUGCUCACAGAAUUCAGCACUGUUGCUGAGCAGAAUCCUGGACUGAUUCCCUGACGGAUAAGCAAACCUCCACCCCUUGGUCCCUGGCUCAUACCCACAGAAAAUCAUCUUCUGGGACCUGGGUUCACCUUUCUUGCGUUUGGCCUUUGGUAUGAGGACCCAAGCCUCACAGCCAAAAACGCGGAAGUAGUGCACUUUCGGUUUCUUGCCAUGAAGCAAGAAAUAUGGUGUGUCACCUACCACUGAAUUGAACGACCUGUUCAGAACAAAGUUGGCCGUUCGCCAAGCCUCCCCCCAAAAGCGCUGUGGGAGCCCGGCAUCAAACAAAAGAGCUGCGGACAUCUCCCCUAGAGUCCUGUUCCUGCGUUCCGCGAUCCCAUUCUGUUGGGGACUGUGUGGAGAAGUCAACCUGUGUUGAAUCCCCUUUUGCGGAAGAAACUUUGCAGUGCAGACCCGGUGAACUCCCCACCGCGAUCGCUCUGAAAGUUUUGCACCCGUGUGGAAAACUGCAGUUCCACAGCCGCAAUCCAGUCUUUGAUUAGCGGCGCAGCUUCAUCUUUGCGCCGAAUCGUGAAACACCAAGAAUUCCUAGUAUGGUCAUCAAUCAGAACCAGCGAAAAUUUGGCUCCGCCCAAACUGCUCACAGAAAACGGACCACACAAAUCUGCAUGAAUUAAUUGAAAAGCCCUGGUGGUCACCCUCUCAGACCUAGGGUAUGUGCACGUUUUCACCUUUGCGGACUUGCACGCUCUGCAAUCUAGAAACUUAGCACAUGAUUUCAUUUUGCACCCUUGCGUAUACUCUGGGAUCCUUCUCACCGACCCCCACGAAACGUGUGCCAUACGUCUGUGCCAGAGAUGUUGACACGCAUCAUGAACUGGAACAUUGGCACACUGCGCUUGAGCCUCCUCCGUGUCAUCCGUGUCAUCUGGACCUGCAAAAGAAGCAUUUAUCACAAACAACCUGUCUUUGCAUUCAACACUGACUAGGUGCUGUCCAUUCUUGGAAAUAGAACACUUAUUGUUCUCAAAACACACUCUGUAGUUCUCAGCAAGAAGUGCACUGACAGACAGCAACGCGCAGGACAGUCCUGGAACAACAAAAGCCUGUAUUGUGUCCUGCAAGAAAGAACAAAACAGUGAGCCACUCUGCGUGAGUGGGUGUCGAGUCCCAUCUGCUAAACAGACAGUCUUCCCAGUUUUUACAGAGGUGCAGUUCUCCAGGAAUCCACCAGAUGGCACAAGAUGAUGCGAUGAUCCUGAGUCGAUAACAAAAGCCAGCUCUGCAUCCUGUUGACAACUUUUGACUACAGCCAUAGAGGCAGCCAAAUGUUUACGUUCAGUGUCUCUGCCAGCUGCCUUCGGCUUGCCUUUCCCACGCUUUGAAGAAGAGCUCUUUAUCUGGUUGCUACGGGAGACGGCCUUGGGCUGUUCCUCCACUGGACAUUCUCUCACCAGAUGGGAGGGGAGCCACAGCGAUAACAGCGGCGACGCGUAGCAACAGCUCUCACAGCUCCCUCUUCAGCCAUUCCUUUGUUCCCUGCACCCCCACCUUUGGGUGCACAGCCUGGGCCUGCACGCUCCCCAGCACUCUGGUUGUAGGCCUCAACAUCACACGGCCCCUCGGAGACAAAGCAGCUACUCCCAGCUGUAACUUCAGGAACAUGGCCAGCAGCCCCUCUGGGCUCUCAGCUUCCUGCCUGCUCUCGGCUUUCUCCCGGCCCUGGGCUCCUGCUGAGCUAUCACACAGACUCCUCAGCACCUGCCAGGCGGCCUGAGCCGACUCAAUGCCCUCCAGGUGGGGCAACAGCAUAGCGUCCACGCUUGCUCUCAACAUGCAGAGCUCCCUUUGCAUUCUCAGCUCUCUAUCUUCCAGGAGAGCAGCCUCCCAGUUCUGCUCCUCCUUCUUCAGCAGCAACUGGCAUGGGUGGGGCAGGCUCCUUCUGGGCUAUAUCCCAGAACCCUGUGGCCAAAAACCACCCCCUGACUCUUCUAACCCAGAUAUCCCAGGACUGGGUUGUGAGCUUUUCAAACGGGACAUCAUAAAAGUCCUGGAGCUCAGCCAUCUCCUCCCCAGUGUUUCCAUUGGGGCUGAUGAAGUACUCACGCGUACCAGCCAGCUUCAAAGGAGAGGCCUCCAGUGGCUCCUUGCAGCACACAGCUUGCAUCCAGCUUUGCAGCACACAGCUUGCCUGCUUUUCUCCCAGGCAAAGCCUCAAAGCAGGACUUUUGCAUUCCGGCAGCAAAAACAACAGCUUCUCAGUUUCCAGCCUUCUUAAGCACACAGCACAUCAAAGCAGGCUUCCUCUAAUUGCAAUUACUGCCUCCAUAACCUCUGGGAUAUAUUGAUUUAUUGCUCAGAUAAGCUUGGUCCGGCACGCUUCCCCCAAGAGUCUCUGCAUUCCAAGAGUCCGACUCAUCUGAGCAUAGCAGAGUUGAGAUCCACAGCGGCUAGAGGAAGCUGCAAAACACUCCCGUGCAUUCUUCAGUGUACUUAAAUAAAGUCCACUCAGGUUCUUGGCAGCUAAAAGCAGUUUUAUUUACAGCAGGCUAUCCAUUAUCUAUCACAGCGAACAGCAUCGUGAAAACACGUCCUCUCUCCUCAAAAGCGAAAGUAGAGAGACAGAACAAAGACUUUAGUCUCUCGGAACUGACGUAGCAUUUCCCCCCUCCUCUCCACAGUAGGCAGGGCGUACAGCCUGAGCUGUUUAACCCUGUAAGCUCAGGUU